CGCCAGCUGAGGGUUUAGAAGGUUGAAGCGAGUCCUGCCGUCGUCUCCUGUUCCCUGUGCAGGUUCCAGGCGAAGCGUUGAAGGGUAGGCGUGUAGCAUUAGCCGGUUUCUCGUGAAUUCUCCAAAAGAAAGUCUCAGCCAGUGACCAUGCUUCCUAUUUCACUGACAACAUUGAAGCAAUCUGAAGAGAACUUCCAUAGGCUUCCAUCACUAAUUCAAUCUUCCUAUUAGCAUCUUUACCCACAAAGCUGCUUUCCAGAAGCUCAACAAAACCCAAACACCAAAAAGUGUUGAUGAAGAACAUUACAUUGAGGUACAUGAUAUUCAAAUUGCUCAGAAGCAGUGAAAAAAUCUUCAAAGCAGCCAGAGGGAAAAGACAUUAAAAAGGAACAAAAAUAAGGAUAACAGCAUAUUUCUCAUUUGAAGUGUUGCAAACAAGAAGAUAGUAGAACAUUUUAAAUGUAUUGAAAGAAAAAAUACCUGUCAACCUAGAAUUCUGUGUCUGUCAAAAAUGUCUCUUAAAAAUGAGGAUAAAAUAAAGAUGCUUCCACACGUAACAAGAGGAAUUUAUCACCAGCAGAUCCUCACUAUGAGAAAUGUUAAAGUAGGUACUUCAAGCAGAAGUAAAAUGAUACCAGAUGGAAAUCUGGAUCUACACAAUGGAGAGCACUGGAAAUAGUGACGUGCGUAAAUAUAUGAAAUUUCCUGGUCGAUGAUCAUGAGGGGCCUAUUUAAGAAGUGCCAUAGGAAGCUGGCCUUAACUUGUUCAUGAUAGGCCUGGGUAUGGUACAUGACUCCCUUCCGAUAUUUUGCCACAUCUGCAUGCAGCAGAGAAGAGUCUAAUAUCAGGGGUAAAAUUUCUAAAUGUCUGGGCCUUUCUGUUAACAGUUCAUAGGGAUAUAACUGAUGUGUCUCUGAG
rnacentral:lncRNA from 1 species